rnacentral:rRNA from 1 species
GACGAACGCUGGCGGCGUGCUUAACACAUGCAAGUCGAACGAGGUCCAACCGGUGGCAACACCGGGGAAGGCCUAGUGGCGAACGGGUGAGUAACACGUGAGGAACCUGCCCCGAAGUCUGGGAUAACCCUCCGAAAGGAGAGCUAAUACCGGAUACCCUCAUCAGAUCGCAUGUUCAGAUGAGGAAAGAAUUUCGCUUCGGGAGGGCCUCGCGGCCUAUCAGCUUGUUGGUGAGGUAACGGCUUACCAAGGCGACGACGGGUAGCUGGUCUGAGAGGACGAUCAGCCACACUGGGACUGAGACACGGCCCAGACUCCUACGGAGGCAGCAGUGGGGAAUCUUGCGCAAUGGGCGAAAGCCUGACGCAGCAACGCCGCGUGCGGGAUGACGGCCUUCGGGUUGUAAACCGCUUUCAGUGGGGACGAAAUCAGACGGUACCCACAGAAGAAGCCCCGGCCAACUACGUGCCAGCAGCCGCGUAACAC